AUGUUGUUUUUAGGUCCAGAAGAGUAUGAAAUUCUGAUGGCUGAUAAUAUCCUUACUCUGGGAGAAGAGCUCCAGUCCCGCUGUCUGUGCUAUUCCGUUCCUGCCCCCCAGAACUGCCUCAAAGCCCCCACCAUGCAGUCUGCCCUCACUUUGGUUUCCAUCCUGACCCUGCUCCAAGGUGUCCAUGGUGAUGUCCAGCUAGUGGAGUCUGGGGGAGACGUGAGACAGCCCGGGGGAUCACUACGCCUCUCCUGUAAAGCCUCCGGAUUCUCCUUCAGUAGCAGCUACUAUGUCAGCUGGGUCCGCCAGGCUCCAGGAAAGGGGCUCGAGUGGGUCUCGUAUAUAAAAUGCGAUGGGAGCUAUCCAAACUAUGCGGACUCUGUGAAAGGCCGAUUCACCAUGUCCUUGGACAGUGCCAACAACUUGGUGCAUCUGCAGAUGAACAGCCUGAAAACCGAGGACACGGCCCUGUAUUACUGUGCAGGAGACACAGUGAGAGAAACCAUAUCCUGA